GUUCCUCGUUGGUGCGUCCAUGGGCCAGGACGCAUCAGCAAUCCUCCCACCCACGUGGUUCCUAACGUCUGCAACUAGACCUUCACUUCUUUUCAACGUACCUGCCGUGGAAGGUGCCGGGUCAAUGUCCAACGGUGUUAUUUUUGGACUGUUUGUCUCGCCGACAGCGAGAACAUCAUGCGGACACGUUCAACCAACACAAUGCCUUGAAAUCGGGGUCAGUCUCUCCGCCAAAACUGUCCAGGCUCUACAUGGACUGCACGAACUUCAACUGCCACCACCGUUUGAAGCUGAGCCAGGACCGAGCUGGCAGGACGUGACCGGGGUCCGGCCAAUCAGCGACCAGCGGCUAUCCAGGUCAACCAACCAGCGAUCUCCGGAGGACCGAGACCCAGCCGCCGCAGAUACACACUUUUAUUGCAAUCACUUUGAAAUUCCACGUCUUCGACACUUACAAACAUUAAUAGAUAGGUAGAGACCGGAAAAAUUCGCGGGUUCAAUGACCUUCAGGAUAGACUCCAACAUACUUUACACACUCUGGCAAAUGCCAACUGUUCAUUGGCUGCUGACUUGUGAGUCGUCUCGACUGGGUGGCCUGUGAUUCGACACUUCUUCGAGUGAGGGGUCUCUGAUUGGCCCUCAGUCCUCCAGAUCAACAGUGAACCAAUGGCAGAAGCAGCACUAAGGUAUAGUUAUUUGAAUUUUAGCAUAACACGAAAUGAACCCGCGAAUUUUUCAGGUCUCUAUAGAUAGGUAAAAAACUGAAGCGCAAUCACUAGGGACCGGAAAAAUUCGCGGAUUCAAUGACCUCUAGGAUAGCCUCCAUUAUCCUCUGCAUUUCUCAAGUAAACACGCGUGUUCAUUGGGUGGUAACCUGUGAGGCGUCUCCACUUGGUAGCUUGUGAUUCGACGCUUCUUUGGUCGAUAAUCUCUCAUUGGCCCAGAGAGCUCCAGUUAAACUGCGAGCCAAUAGCAGAACCAGCAGAAUUUGUACACAUGUUUGAAUUUCAGCCUAUCACGAAAUGAAUCCGCGAAUUUUUCCGGUCUCUAGCAAUCACUGCAACAAAGACAGAGUUAUGUUUGAAACUUUUUUCCCGUGCACCCUUGAAGGGAAGCCUCCUGAUUGGCCAGAGGAAGAGAAAGCCGGGUCAGUCACCCUGGCAGGUGCCGUUAGCUCCGGCGGGCUGUACCACGGAGGCUGUCCCUAGGGAGACGAGUCCCAGCAUGAUGUCCCUCGACAACCCCUGGUGCUCGCUACCUGCCCCGACUUGAUGUAGGCUUUUGGACAUACGUAGGGACACCUGUAUUUCGCGAAUACAUUUCGUGUCAAGGUAUUUCACAAAAUACUGUAGCUUUUCUCCUGUGGUUAUUGGCUGAGGUCGGUGAGAGGUGUCGUCCCGCUCUUGACCGGGCCAAUGAGAAUGUGGUCACCGUACUGCUGCACCCUCACAAUUUGCCACGGCUCUUAGAAAAAGCUACAGUGUUUUGUGAAAUACCUUGACAUGAAAUAAAAUCGCGAAAUACAGGUGUCCCUAGACAUACGCUAUUGCUAGAGACUUGCAAAAUUCGCGAAUUCAAUGACCUCCAGGAUAGACUCUACUACACUCUACACACUCGGGCAAAUGCCACCUGUUCAUUGGCUGCUGACUUGUGAGUCGUCUCGACCGAGUGUCUGUGA